UAGGGAAUCUUCCACAAUGGGGGCAACCCUGACCGAGCAACGCCGCGUGAGUGAAGAAGGUUUUCGGAUCGUAAAGCUCUGUUGUAAGAGAAGAACGUGUGUGAGAGUGGAAAGUUCACACAGUGACGGUAACUUACCAGAAAGGGACGGCUAACUACGUGCCAA
rnacentral:rRNA from 1 species